UGGUUCAUUUAUGUUGUGAUGGUUUAUGCUCUGAUGCUUCACGUAAUGACUUAUGAGGCAAGACUUAAGAGCAUUUGCUUGGUUCAUUCAUGUUGUGAUGGUUUCUGUUUUGAUCGUUUCAAUGUGCCAACCUUGUUUCCGAGCCGUGACAGCGAUUGAGCAUGAGACAAGGCUUAACAGCGACUCCAAGGCUUAUUGACGGGCUGUUCGGGCCCAUCUGAAUAGAGUCCUGAAUAUAUUCCUUUAAUCCUU
ensembl:lncRNA